CAGUUAGAGGGAUGAUGUACUACAGACGAGCUUUAAAACUUCAAGCUUUCCUUGAUAUGGCUAAAGAAAGUGGUGAGAG
rnacentral:sRNA from 1 species